AUUGCUAGAAAUAUGAGAACUCUCCAGAAGAUCAAGUACCGUGUAGUAGUUACCAUGCACAGGCCCCAUAGAGCCCUGGCCUUGGAGAAUGCCCUAUUCACCAACCCAAAAGAAGGUCCCAUGUGACAAAGUUUGGAUUAGACAUUACAAAUGGCUUCCAAUGGACUACUUGCCAGACUUUGUCAUGGGAACCAUCUGACGAGCAGAACAAAGUGCAAGUGCAUAAGCAACUUCCAAUGAGAACCUCUGUAUGGGCUUGGCCCAGGUAUCUUGAAACCCUGGGAAGACCUAAAUAUAAACAAAAUUUUGCAAAGGAGAAGGGAAUCAUGAACAAAUCACCUUUCUAUAAGACACCAUAAACGAUGACUGGAGAUCUG